AGAACGAACGCUGGCGGCAUGCCUAACACAUGCAAGUCGAACGAGACCUUCGGGUCUAGUGGCGCACGGGUGCGUAACGCGUGGGAAUCUACCCUUGGGUUCGGAAUAACAGUUGGAAACGACUGCUAAUACCGGAUGAUGACGUAAGUCCAAAGAUUUAUCGCCCAGGGAUGAGACCCGCGUAGGAUUAGCUAGUUGGUGAGGUAAAGGCUCACCAAGGCGACGAUCCUUAGCUGGUCUGGAGAGGAUGAUCAGCCACACUGGGACUGAGACGACGGCCAGACCUCCGUACGGGACGCAGCGAGUAGGGGAUAGUGGACAAGUAGGGCAAAGCCUGAC
rnacentral:rRNA from 1 species